UUCCCUUCGGGGCAAUGGAGACAGGUGGUGCAUGGUUGUCGUCAGCUCGUGUCGUGAGAUGUUGGGUUAAGUCCCGCAACGAGCGCAACCCUUAUUCUUAGUAGCCAGCAGGUAAAGCUGGGCACUCUAAGGAGACUGCCGGGGAUAACCCGGAGGAAGGCGGGGAUGACGUCAAAUCAUCAUGCCCCUUAUGAUUUGGGCUACACACGUGCUACAAUGGCGUAAACAAAGGGAAGCGAGACAGUGAUGUGGAGCAAAUCCCAAAAAUAACGUCUCAGUUCGGAUUGUAGUCUGCAACUCGACUACAUGAAGCUGGAAUCGCUAGUAAUCGCGAAUCAGCAUGUCGCGGUGAAUACGUUCCCGGGUCUUGUACACACCGA
rnacentral:rRNA from 1 species